GGUAGAGGGUUCAACAGGGUUUUAUUUAUACAAAUAACACUAACAAAACAGGCAAAACAAAAACCCACGAGGGGGAAAACAAGACAGGAUAAAUAAUAAACGUUGAUGAGGAAACAGACUGACUAAACUAACAAAACAAACACUGGAUUAGAACACUAAACUAAACUAAGGGAAUCAGGGAACAGGGAUCAGGAACAAGGAACAAGGAACAAGGACUCAGAUAUAAACAGGAUAAUUGCAAACAGCAAACAGGCAAGGUAAGACUUACUCGGACGAGGGACAUCAUACAAUGAACGCGCACAGGACAAUGAAACAUGAGGACUCUUUAUAGGGACAAACUAAAGAGGGAACAGGUGCAGUGGAUGAACACUCAAGAAAAACUAAUUAACACAAACUAGGAAACAGGAGGGUAGGAACGAUGACGCAGACCAGAGAGAGAUGAAAUUGUCUCUCUCCAACAUGAAACAGAGGAUCCUGUAUGAUUCCACCUCUAGACCAAGAAAUACCUGACAAGGUGAGGUGGAAUCAUGACAGUAGUAUAGACCCAUCUCUUAUUUAAUUUCUUUGUUUUCUUUUCCUGUUUUUUAGAUGAUGUUGACAGUACAUCAGUACCAGAUGAUGACAGGAAAGAGAUUGUCAAUAUUCAGACUUGGAUAAACAAACCAGAUGUAAAGCAUCACAUUCCAUGCAACGAGGUUAAGGAGACUGGACACAUGUUCCCAAGUCAUCUCCUGAUCACUGCAACACACAUAUACUGUUUGAGAGAGGUUGCGUCCGCAAAGGCUUUGCUUACAUUCAGUCCAGACAGGCCUUAAACUCUGUGGUGAAGAUCACAUCUAAGAAGAAGCACCCAGAACUUAUCACGUUUAAGUUUGGCAAAAACAAUGCUGCAGGGGUGGGGAUAGUGGCUGUGGAGAGGUAUUUAAUCCCCAAUGCAGGUGAUGCCACUAAGGCCAUUAAACAACAAAUUAUGAAAGUCUUGGAUGCUAUGGAGAGCUCUUAGUAAGGCAACAUCAGAGAGGCUUAAAUCUGUUCCUCCUGGCCAUAACCACAGCUCUACCAAAAUCAACCUGAAAGGAAAGAAGAAAGCAGAGCAAUCCAACAACUCCUCCCUGGCUAACCCUUGAGGCCUGUUGCUAUGACAUUUGACAGGAUGACGACUUUGGACUUGAAGAUGUCAAAACAAAUUUUUGUCUAAUUUGCUUUUGUUUUCUCUAUUUUGGGAAACUGAACCUAAUUUAGAUUUAUUAUUUUUCUGUAUCAUGCCUUAAUGACAAGCUGUAGCUUUUUUAUAUAAGAUUCAGAACUCCUUAUCUAAUGUCAACUAUUAUUAUUUCUUUAGCCAUUAAAAGAUGUUAUCGAUA